rnacentral:tRNA from 1 species
UCCGGGAUAGCUCAGCGGCAGAGCGACGCACUGUUAAUGCGUUGGCCGCAGGUUCGAAUCCUGCUCCCGGAG